CUCUAGGGAAGAAAUAUCGGGCGGCUUGUGAAUCAAAAGCGGAGGCAUCGAUCGCGAAAUGUUCAGAGAUUAGCUCAACAGCUUGUCAAGAAAUGGAAGCAAAUGGUAGAGGAAUCUUUCAGAUUAAAGCCUGGUGAUUUCCAAAGUCCGAGUUUAAUAGACAGGGAAACCUCUGUUCCUGAGGGUCCCUUAAACCUCGAAGGCCUCUUCCCCAUACGCCCGGUAAGCCACUCAUAAACUAGCGGUAACAGACGUCAAUUUGACAAGAUAUCAGAUUGGUUCGUAGAGGAAAAGUAACACGUUUCCUCACUACAUCAUCAUC